UUAAAUUGAAGAGUUUGAUCAUGGCUCAGAUUGAACGCUGGCGGCAGGCCUAACACAUGCAAGUCGAACGGUAACAGGAAGCAGCUUGCUGCUUUGCUGACGAGUGGCGGACGGGUGAGUAAUGUCUG
rnacentral:rRNA from 11 species